UCCCGUGUGGCUCAGUUGGUAGAGCAUGGUGUUUGCAAUGCCAGGGUUGUGGGUUCGAUUCCCACAGGGGAC
rfam:Salmo salar isolate Sally breed double haploid chromosome ssa06, whole genome shotgun sequence.